ensembl:lncRNA
GUGUCUUUGUUUAGAACCAAAUGUUAGUGUGUCUGUGUGUACAUCUAAUUGUUAGUGUGUCUGUGUGUAGAUCUAACUUGUGUGUCUUUGUGUACAUCUAAAUGUUAGUGUGUGCCUUUGUUUAGAACCAAAUGAUAGUGUAUCUGUGUGUACAUCUAAUUGUUAGUGUGUCUGUGUGUACAUCUAAAUAUUAAUGUGUCUUUGUGUACAUCUAAAUGUUAGUGUGUGUCUUUGUUUAGAACCAAAUGUUAGUGUGUCUGUGUGUACAUCUAAUUGUACAUCUAAAUUUGCCAGCGUGUCUAAAUGUUAGUGUGUCUCUGAGUACAUCUGUGUGUGUGUGCGUGUGUGUGGGGGUGUGUGUGUGUGUCAUGAGUAGAUCUGGAUUUGCUCCUGAGGGGUUGACGCGGCGUCCUGAUGGCGUCCUGAUGGAAUCCUUAUGGCGUCCCUAUGACGUGGCGUCCUGAUAGCGUCCUGAUGGUGUCCCGAUGACGUAGCGUCCCGAUGACGUGGCGUCCUGAUGGCGUCCUGUUGGUCUGCAGACAAGGAGAAGAGACGUGAGGAUGGUCAUCAGGAUGUGUCUGUGUGUACAUCUAAUUGUUAGUGUGUAUGUGUGUAGAUCUAAUUGUUAGUGUGUCCGUGUGUACAUCUAAUUGUUAGUGUGUCUGUGUGUAGAUCUAAUUGUUAUUGUGUCUUUGUGUACAUCUAAAUAUCAGUGUGUGUCUUUGUUUAAAACCAAAUG